UUUCCGUAGGUGAACCUGCGGAAGGAUCAUUAAUGAUUUUUUUAAGCGAUCCGAGCGAUAAAAAGCGAGGAUUGCGAAAUAUUUAAAACCCCACUCUUUUAUUAAACUAUUAUGAAAACGUGAAUUUUUUUUAAAAAAAGAUCACUUUCAACAACGGAUCUCUUGGCUCUCGCAUCGAUGAAGAACGCAGCGAAAUGCGAUAAGUAGUGUGAAUUGCAGAAAUUGUGAAUCAUCGAAUCUUUGAACGCAAAUUGCACUCUCUGGUAUUCCGGGGAGUAUGCCUGUUUGAGGGUCGUUAGAAAAAAAUCGAAGCGUCGCUCUUUAUGAAAAAUAUUUAAUAUAUUUCGUUUUGGGCGAUCGCGUCGGAAUUGAGCCGUCUUUCAUAUGUUUUAUUCAUGUCAAAGUGGUUUAAAAUUCAUCAAUCUGGUACGAUUUAAAGCGUAUUUAAGAUCAGCACUGAUUAAGAACGCGCGAUGAAAACGUAUCAUCUCAUGUAGUACGUUCGACCUGCUUUGUCAGGCUCAUUCGUAUACGACAACUCAAUUUUUGACCUCAAAUCA
rnacentral:rRNA from 1 species